GACGAACGCUGGCGGCGUGCUUAACACAUGCAUGUCGAACGGAAAGGCCCUGCUUUUGUGGGGUGCUCGAGUGGCGAACGGGUGAGUAACACGUGAGUAACCUGCCCUUGACUUUGGGAUAACUUCAGGAAACUGGGGCUAAUACCGGAUAGGAGCUCCUGCUGCAUGGUGGGGGUUGGAAAGUUUCGGCGGUUGGGGAUGGACUCGCGGCUUAUCAGCUUGUUGGUGGGGUAGUGGCUUACCAAGGCUUUGACGGGUAGCCGGCCUGGGAGGGUGACCGGCCACAUUGGGACUGAGAUACGGCCCAGACUCCUACGGGAGGCAGCAGUGGGGAAUAUGGCACAAUGGGCGGAAGCCUGAUGCAGCAACGCCGCGUGCGGGAUGACGGCCUUCGGGUUGUAAACCGCUGUCGCCUGUGACGAAGCGUGAGUGACGGUAAUGGGUAAAGAAGCACCGGCUAACUACGUG
rnacentral:rRNA from 1 species